UUUACUUUUUGUACUGGAGAUUUUGUUACUUUGAGUAAAUUAGAGUGUUCAAAGCAAACAGUUAAAGCAUUUUACUGCGUUUGAAUACUACAGCAUGGAAUAACAAAAUUGAACAAGUCAAAACUCUGUUCCUUUUUCUUAUUUUGGCUUAGUUACGAUUAAUAGGAGUAGCUUGGGGGCAUUUGUAUUCAGAUGUCAGAGGUGAAAUUCUUAGAUUUUCUGGAGACAAACAACUGCGAAAGCAUUUGCCUAAAAUACUUCCAUUAAUCAAGAACGAAAGUUAAGGGAGUGAAGACGAUCAGAUACCGUCGUAAUCUUAACCAUAAACUAUGCCGACUAGGUUUUGGAUGAAAGAUUUUUAAAUAAGAAAAUUCCUUUUGGAAAUUUCUUAGAUUGCUUCCUUCAGUACCUUAUGAGAAAUCAAAGUCUUUGGGUUCUGGGGCGAGUAUUCGCGCAAGCGAGAAAGUUAAAAGAAUUGACGGAAGGGCACCACCAGGCGUGGAGCUUGCGGCUUAAUUUGACUCAACACGGGGAAACUCACUAGUUUAAGACAAGAGUAGGAUUGACAGAUUAAUAGCUCUUUCUUGAUUUCUUGGAUGGUGAUGCAUGGCCGUUUUUAGUUCGUGAAUAUGAUUUGUCUGGUUAAUUCCGAUAACGAACGAG
rnacentral:rRNA from 1 species